AAGUCGUAACAAGGUUUCCGUAGGUGAACCUGCGGAAGGAUCAUUGUCGAUGCAACUCAAAAUGAACCGUGAACACGCACUGAAAAUAUCGGGUUAGGUGAAACGGCCAGAUGCUCGUCCAACCUAUGCCCCGCUGACGGAAUUAUACGAUGUCCCUGACGGGGCCUCGUAGAAGUCUUGCCGGCGACAUAACAAACCCCGGCACGGAACGUGCCAAGGAAUGAAAAACUCAAGAAGGGUGUAGCGUGGCACAUUUCGGCAUUCGAAUUGUGCCCGGGUCUAUUGCCUUUCGAAAUCACAAACGACUCUCGGCAACGGAUAUCUCGGCUCACGCAUCGAUGAAGAACGUAGCAAAAUGCGAUACUUGGUGUGAAUUGCAGAAUCCCGUGAACCAUCGAGUUUUUGAACGCAAGUUGCGCCCGAAGCCAUUUGGUCGAGGGCACGUCUGCCUGGGCGUCACGCAUCGCGUCGCCCCCACCACGUCACGUCGUAUCGUCGGCAUGUCGUCGGGGGCGGAGAUUGGUCUCCCAUGCCGUCGCGUGUGGUUGGCCCAAAUUGAUGGCCGCCUUGAUUGGCACACGACUAUUGGUGGUUGAAAAUACCCUCGGUCUAGAGUCGUGUUGCGAGUCAACGGUAAAACGCCUCGUUUAGAACCCUGAUGCAUCGUGAUUCGAUGCCUCGGACGCGACCCCAGGUCAGGCGGGACUACCCGCUGAGUUUAA
rnacentral:rRNA from 1 species